rnacentral:rRNA from 1 species
GACCAAGAAGUCUAACAUGUGUGCGAGUCAUUGAGUAUAUUGUUGAAACUUAAGGGCGUAAUUAAAAUAACUAUUAUUUUAAAUGGGAUUACAAGUGAAUUAAUUUUCAUUUCUUCAUCCCGGGGCGUUCUAUACGAACAUGAUACAAGCAAUUGAAUCCUCUGUUCAAGAGCGUACCUUGAGCAUACAUGCUGUGACCCGAAAGAUGGUGAACUAUACCUGAUCAGAUCGAAGCCAGGAGAAAUUCUGGUGGAGGAUCGAAACAGUUCUGACGUGCAAAUCGAUUGUCAGAAUUGGGUAUAGGGGCGAAAGACCAAUCGAACCAUCUAGUAGCUGGUUCCCUCCGAAGUUUCCCUCAGGAUAGCUGGCGCAAUGACAUAUUUAAUAUAUAAUCUUAUCUGGUAAAGCGAAUGAUUAGAGGCCUUGGGGCCGAAACGACCUCAACCUAUUCUCAAACUUUAAAUGGGUAAGAACCUCAUCUUUCUUGAUCUGAAGAUAUUGGGGUUUAGAUAUAUUGUGCCCAGUGGGCCACUUUUGGUAAGCAGAACUGGCGCUGUGGGAUGAACCAAACAUGAUGUUACGGCGCCUAAAUUAAUGACUCAUAUUGAUACCAUGAAAGGCGUUGGUUGCUUAAAACAGCAGGACGGUGGACAUGGAAGUCGUAAUCCGCUAAGGAGUGUGUAACAACUCACCUGCCGAAGCAACUAGCCCUUAAAAUGGAUGGCGCUCAAGUCAUAUGCCUAUACAUCAUCGCUAGAAUAAAAAAAUAUAUUGUUUAUCAUUAUGAUAAUCAUUGUGAAAUUCUAGUGAGUAGGAGGGUACAAUGGUGUGCGCAGAAGUGUUUGGCGUGAGCCUGCAUGAAGCCGCCAUUGGCACAGAUCUUGGUGGUAGUAGCAAAUAAUCGAAUGAGAUCUUGGAGGACUGAAGUGGAGAAGGGUUUCGUGUGAACAGUGGUUGAUCACGAGUUAGUCGGUCCUAAGCUUUAUGCGAAAGCUGUUUAAUAUUAUAUGUUAUUUUAAUUAUACCAUAAUAAUAUAAUAAAAAAAGCGAAAGGGAAUACGGUUCCAAUUCCGUAACCUGUUGAGUAUACGUUUGUUUAUUAAAAAUGGGUCUUAUUACACUCAUCCUGGCAACAGGAACAACCAUAGAGAAGCUUUCGAGAGAUACUGGAAGAGUUUUCUUUUCUGCUAAACAAACGUAUCACCAUGGAAGUCUUUUAUAGAGAGAUAUGGUGAAUGGCUUGGAAGAGCAUGACAUUUACUGUUGUGUCAGUAUUUUCUCCUUGGACCUUGAAAAUCUAUGGUAGGGCCACGCAAACUUCUCAACAGACCGUACCGAUAUCCGCAG